rnacentral:rRNA from 1 species
GACGAACGCUGGCGGCGUGCUUAACACAUGCAAGUCGAACGGAAAGGCCCUGCCUUUGUGGGGUGCUCGAGUGGCGAACGGGUGAGUAACACGUGAGUAACCUGCCCUUGACUGUGGGAUAACUUCAGGAAACUGGGGCUCAUACCGGAUAGGAGCUCCUGCUGCAUGGUGGGGGCGGGAAAGUUUCGGCGGUUGGGGAUGGACUCGCGGCUUAUCAGCUUGUUGGUGGGGUAGUGGCUUACCAAGGCUUUGCCGCGUAGCCGGCCUGGGCGGGUGACAGGCCACAUUGGGCCUGGGCUGCGGCCCAGCCUCGUACCCGACGCAGCAGUGGAGUGUAUUGCACAGUGGGCUGGAGCCUGAUCCGGCCACGCCGCGUGCGGGAUGACGGGCUUCCGUUUGUGUUCCGCUUUCGCCUUUGACGGGGCGUUAAUGACGGUACCGGGUGAAUAAGCACCGGCUAACUACGUG